rnacentral:rRNA from 1 species
UACGUAGGGGGCAAGCGUUGUCCGGAAUCAUUGGGCGUAAAGAGCGCGUAGGCGGUCCGAUAAGUCUGCCGUGAAAGCCAAGGGCUCAACCCUUGGAUGCCGGUGGAUACUGUCGGGCUAGAGUCCGGAAGAGGCGAGUGGAAUUCCUGGUGUAGCGGUGAAAUGCGCAGAUAUCAGGAAGAACACCAAUGGCGAAGGCAGCUCGCUGGGACGGAACUGACGCUGAGGCGCGAAAGCGUGGGGAGCAAACAGG